UACGAAGGGGGCUAGCGUUGCUCGGAAUUACUGGGCGUAAAGCGUGCGCAGGCGGUUUUGUAAGUCUGACGUGAAAUCCCCGGGCUCAACCUGGGAAUUGCGUUGGAGACUGCAAGGCUAGAAUCUGGCAGAGGGGGGUAGAAUUCCACGUGUAGCAGUGAAAUGCGUAGAGAUGUGGAGGAACAACGAUGGCGAAGGCAGCCCCCUGGGUCAAGAUUGACGCUCAUGCACGAAAGCGUGGGGAGCAAACAGG
rnacentral:rRNA from 1 species